rnacentral:rRNA from 1 species
UACUCCUACGGGAGGCAGCAGUGGGGUAUUUGCGCAAUGGGCGGAAGCGCGAGCAGCCAUCCGGACUUGUGAAGAAGGCGUUGAAGAAUACAUACAUCAUAGGGGAAGGGGUAAUUGAAUGAGGCACUAUAGACGUUAUCAAGACACGGGC